CGUUGCAAAGCUUGCUACUUUGCAAUGGGUGAGCCCGGCAUAGCAUAAACCGGGAGGGCGGGAACG
rnacentral:sRNA from 1 species